ensembl:lncRNA
AUGAGAGGCUGUCACCGCUCUCAAGGCUUCCACUGGGAAGACGCAUGCUUCCCUUCCACGCGCCGCGGGUGUCUGGCUAAUUCAAGCCCCACAGCCACGCCCAACUCCAAGGGCAGGAAAGCGCGAUCCCUCCGCGUGCCCUGCACGAGGAGAGGCGGACGCCGACGCUGGGCCACGCGCCUAAUGACUGUGGCCAGCGAACGUGGCAGACGGUACCGAAGGGGAGGGCCGGGGACGCCGUGUUUCGCAGCGAACCUCGCUGGACUUCCUCGUGGGCGCAGGGCUCAGCUAAGCCAGGAGGGUUCAAGCGCAGGGAGUGGAGACACUGGAGAAGACAGACAUGGCGCCCCAGCCUUGCUCCCCCGCGUUGUCAUGGCACCUGUGACGUCAACAACCGUGAGACCAGAGGAUCGCCGGGUCCUUUCCUUAGGAUGCAACAUUGAGGACCGGAAGCCAGCCAAGGACCCCAGAGGUCUUGGCCCAAUUGCCGGCUUGAUGACCGGUCACCUUCCAGCCAUGUGAACUUGGCAGGUCUGUGAGCCUGUUUCCUUGGCUGUAACCCUCGUGUGGUUCUCAUGAUGAAAUCCUGGCAUCAGCGGUAUCAGCACCCACGGUGAGCACUUCUAAGUCUUGGGCCUUGCCCCGCACCCGCUGAACAGACACCCCUGGCCGUGGGGCCCAGCACUCUGGGUUUUCACACGUCUCCCAGGUGACCGAUGCUUGCUCAAGUGUGACGAUCACUGGGAUAGAGAGAGGCUGAAACCGAUGGAGGUGCGCAAAGCCCCAGCACAACCCCGCAGUUGCUUGCAGCCUUCCCCGCCUCCGUGACUGGCAACUGCAUUCUUCCUGCAGACAAAAGGCCCAGAGUCCUCCCGGAUCAGGGUUCUCCAAACCCAAGCCUGCGGCGGAACCUUUGGUUCUCAUUAGGAGGUUAAAAACUUCUUGUUAUAAGAUAAAUACAUCACGGGGACGUAAAGCGCAGCGUAGGGAAUCUAGUCCAUAAUAGUGUCAUAAUGCCGUGCGGUGACAGAUGGUAAGUGGUCUUACGGUGAGCGGUUCGUAACGUGUAUAAAUGUCGGAUCACGACGCAUACACCUGAAACUCACAUAAUAUUGUGUGUCGACGAGACUUCAAUUAAAAAACACGUGUCCAAGGGGGCCCCUUGCUCACCGCCUCCUCCACUCCCGAGGCACCAGCCUCCUCCGUCCUGCACUUGCUGUAAUAACUUUCCAGCCACCUCUGCCCUCGCCCCUGCAGCACCUCCUCACCCCUGCAGCCAGAGGAGCCUCUUAAAAAUGAAAUCAGAUUAUUCUACUCCUCUGCUCAGAACCUCCGACGAUUCCCAUCUCCCUCUGCUGCCGGCCAGGCCCGACCCCCCUCCGGCCCCCCCACCCCACUCCCCCCCCCAACACCCUCCCCUCCCCAGCUCUGCAGCAGCCCCUCCGACCUGCCAGACUCUCUCCCACCCUGGGGCCUUGACUCCAGCCCCUUCCUCGGCCAUACACCCUUCUCUGGGUGUCCCCGCACGGCUCUCGUGCCCUCACCUCUAGAUCCUGUUCAAAUGUCACCACCUGAGAGAAGGCCUCUCUGACGCCAUUGUGUGCUGUCCCCUCCUCCCGCCCCCCCUUUUUUUUUCCUCCAUAGCACUUACCACCACCUGACACACAUCUUUAUUGUUUCUCUGUUUAUUGUCUGCCUCUUCCCACUCGGACGCGAGGUCCGUGGGGCCAGGACCGCCUGUUUUGUUCACUGCUGUGUCUACAACGCCUGUAAUAUUGCCUGCACAGAACAGGCUCUUGGUAAAUGUUUGUCGAGUGGAUGAUUGAAUAAAUAAAUGAAUUGUUUUUUUAAAAAAAACCUA